AGUGAACGCUGGCGGUAGGCCUAACACAUGCAAGUCGAACGGCAGCACAGUAAGAGCUUGCUCUUACGGGUGGCGAGUGGCGGACGGGUGAGGAAUACAUCGGAAUCUACUUUUUCGUGGGGGAUAACGUAGGGAAACUUACGCUAAUACCGCAUACGACCUACGGGUGAAAGCAGGGGAUCUUCGGACCUUGCGCGAUUGAAUGAGCCGAUGUCGGAUUAGCUAGUUGGCGGGGUAAAGGCCCACCAAGGCGACGAUCCGUAGCUGGUCUGAGAGGAUGAUCAGCCACACUGGAAAGGAGACACGGUCCAGACUCAUACGGGAGGCAGCAGUGGGGAAUAUUGGACAAUGGGCGCAAGCCUGAUCCAGCCAUACCGCGUGGGUGAAGAAGGCCUUCGGGUUGUAAAGCCCUUUUGUUGGGAAAGAAAAGCAGCAGGUUAAUACCCCGCUGUUCUGACGGUACCCAAAGAAUAAGCACCGGCUAACUUCGUG
rnacentral:rRNA from 1 species